UACGAAGGGUGCAAACGUUGCUCGGAAUUAUUGGGCGUAAAGCGCACGUAGGCGGCUUUGUAAGUCCCAUGUGAAAUCCCACGGCUCAACCGUGGAAGUGCAUGGGAAACUGCAGAGCUUGAGUACUUAAGAGGAUCGCGGAAUUCCCGGUGUAGAGGUGAAAUUCGUAGAUAUCGGGAGGAACACCAGUGGCGAAGGCGGCGAUCUGGGAAGAUACUGACGCUGAGGUGCGAAAGCGUGGGGAGCAAACAGG
rnacentral:rRNA from 1 species